UGGAUCCAAUAUAAUCAGCAGCAUAAAGCCAAGAUAACUGCUGAAAUUUAUAAAGGCAGUUGCAUGAGGAAAGGAGGAAUAAAGGUCAGUGACUUAUAAUAAGAGCUAUGACAUGCAUCUCCUUCUUAUCCCUCAAACGGCAUCAUGAUAUUGAUCGAUGGCUUGUUUCAUGGCAUCCAAUUGCGAAAGAACAUGCUCCAAUUUCUUACAACAGAUUUCAUUGGAAAUUCUAUAACUGUAAUCACACUUCUCAAAUGGACGGUACUCGCAUGCACUUUUGAUUUCAUCGCGUAGAGUGGACUGGAUGCCCU
rnacentral:misc_RNA from 1 species